rnacentral:ribozyme from 1 species
UGAUUAUUUAAAAAGGGAGGGGGGAAGGGGAGGUCUGAUAAAGGAUAUGAAAUGAUUAAAAUACAUAAUGUAUUUUUUUUUUUUUAAUUCUUCAUUUUUCAUUCACAUGCACUCAACUGAAUAUCAGGAAU